UUUCGGACUGAGCUUUGAGAUUGAACGGGUAACUUGGCGCUUGAACAGGUCCGCCGAGCACCCUGCCACUCGCCUUGAAUCUGCUUCCCAGCGGCCUAGACUUAGCAAGCAUGACCAAUAGCCGCCGGAUGAAAAAGAAGAGACACAAGACGCAAGCAGCAGAUUUGCUUUCAAAGGGCUACUGCCAUGAUGAGUCACUCAACAUCUCCACACAAAGUUGUAAUGGAGUGAUCGGAACCUUGACGGCAAGGAGACAUGGAAGACGACCGGCUGCAAAUAUUGGAGCAAAUUAAAGUAAAUUUUGAUACAAAAUCAUCAAUUCUAAGCAUCUGGGUGUUUUUUUUUUCUUUUGUAAUGACAGAUUUCAACAACACUUGACUUUGGGCGAGAGUAUUUGCCAUCUACAAAUAUCAAUGCUUCACUGAGAUUUCCCGAGUAUGGUUCGAGCAAGCUCAACCUCAAAUUCCAGCAAUCCUUUAGAAAUGCUGCUUUAUCCAUCUUUGUAGGCCUAAACCAAUCCCCUGACAUAUUGCUUUCAGCAGCUAUUGCCACUUCUAGCAUUGCAUGUGGCAUCGAAUCGAAGUAUAAGACCGCUUCUCAUUGUUUCACUCGGUAUGGUGCAGGCAUUUCCAUCAUUAACCCAAGUCACGAUGCUUCAAUAAUACUAUGUUUGCUGACAUAACAUUGCUAAGCUCUGCUUUGCUUUGCUUGUGGAGACUUCAGUGCUUGAAUCUUUGAUGCAUAAUUUUCAGGGCUGAGAAACGUGACCUCCUGAGACUAGCAUACACGCAUCAUUUUGGCCGGUCGAGGAAGAUUCCGCCUUUGUAGAGGUCACUAGAAGGUUUUCCAACAACAAGUGUUCCCUUGCUGUUGGAGUUUCAUGCAUUGUGGAUAAUCUAACAACAGCAAAGGCAACACUUAACGAUAGAGGAAAGCUUCGACCCCUCCUCCAUAAAAUUAAACUGAACUCGAGCUUGAACAUUUCGGCCGAAUUCAAUAUGAAAGCUUUAGACAAGAUCCCAAGAAUAGGAUUGGCUCUUUGUAAUCUA